AGCAUAUCAAUAAGCGGAGGAAAAGAAACUAACAAGGAUUCCCCUAGUAACGGCGAGUGAAGCGGGAAGAGCUCAAAUUUAAAAUCUGACAGUGUAUUCUGUCCGAGUUGUAGUCUAGAGAAGCAUCAUCCGUGCUGGACCAUGUACAAGUCUCUUGGAACAGAGCGUCAUAGAGGGUGAGAAUCCCGUCCUUGACAUGGACUCCCAGUGCUUUGUGUUGUGCUCUCAACGAGUCGAGUUGUUUGGGAAUGCAGCUCAAAAUGGGUGGUAAAUUCCAUCUAAAGCUAAAUAUUGGCGAGAGACCGAUAGCGAACAAGUACCGUGAGGGAAAGAUGAAAAGCACUUUGGAGAGAGAGUUAAACAGUACGUGAAAUUGUUGAAAUGGAAACGCUUGAAGUCAGUCGCGUUCUCUGGGAUUCAGCCUUGCUUUUGCUUGGUGCACUUCCUAGUCUACGGGCCAGCAUGAGUUUUGACCAAUGGAAAAAGGCUUGGGGAAUGUGGCACCCUCGGGUGUGUUAUAGCCCCUUGUCACACACGUUGGUUGGGAUUGAGGUCUUAGUGCACGCUUCGGUUGUGCUUUGAUGCUGGCGUAAUGGCUUUAAACGACCCGUCUUGAAACACGGACCAAGGAGUCUAACAUGUCUGCGAGUGUUUGGGUGCAAAACCCGAGCGCGUAAUGAAAGUGAUAGUUGGGAACCUCUUCAGAGGGGCACCGACGCCCGGACCAGACCUUCUGUGACGGAUCCGAGGUAGAGCAUAUAUGUUGGGACCCGAAAGAUGGUGAACUAUGCCUGCAUAGGGUGAAGCCAGAGGAAACUCUGGUGGAGGCUCGUAGCGAUUCUGACGUGCAAAUCGAUCGUCAAAUGUGGGUAUAGGGGCGAAAGACUAAUCGAACCAU
rnacentral:rRNA from 1 species